GGAGUGGUGCGUGAGAUGGCUGAAACGAACCGCCUGCUAAGCGGUUGGAGGGUCAAAAGCCCUCCCGAGGGUUCGAAUCCCUCCCACUCCGCCA
rnacentral:tRNA from 1 species